AAUGAACGCUGGCGGCAGGCCUAACACAUGCAAGUCGAACGGAUCCUUCGGGAUUAGUGGCGGACGGGUGAGUAACGCGUGGGAACAUACCCUUUGGUACGGAAUAGCCUCGGGAAACUGGGAGUAAUACCGUAUGUGGUCGAGAGACGAAAGAUUUAUCGCCAAAGGAUUGGCCCGCGUUGGAUUAGGUAGUUGGGGGGUAAUGGCCUACCAGGCCGACGAUCCAUAGCUGGUUUGAGAGGAUGAUCAGCCACACUGGGACUGAGACACGGCCCAGACUCCUACGGGAGGCAGCAGUGGGGAAUCUUAGACAAUGGGGGAAACCCUGAUCUAGCCAUGCCGCGUGAUCGAUGAAGGCCUUAGGGUUGUAAAGAUCUUUCAGGUGGGAAGAUAAUGACUGUACCACCAGAAGAAGCCCCGGCUAACUUCGUGCCAGCCGCUGCUGUAA
rnacentral:rRNA from 1 species